rnacentral:rRNA from 1 species
UACGUAGGGUGCAAGCGUUAAUCGGAAUUACUGGGCGUAAAGUGUGCGCAGGCGGUUUUGUAAGUCUGACGUGAAAUCCCCGGGCUCAACCUGGGAAUUGCGUUGGAGACUGCAAGGCUGGAGUCUGGCAGAGGGGGGUAGAAUUCCACGUGUAGCAGUGAAAUGCGUAGAGAUGUGGAGGAACACCGAUGGCGAAGGCAGCCCCCUGGGUCAAGACUGACGCUCAUGCACGAAAGCGUGGGGAGCAAACAGG